AAGCACCACCGCCGCAGACUGCUGGACACCCUGAAGGCAGCAGCAGCUCGGCUGGACGAAACGGCUGCCACUGCAGUGGUGUUCGCUGUUUCCCUAGGGAAAUUUCCUUUAAAAGCGGCUUGUUGUUCGUAAGAAACUUCGCUCUGAGCUGAGCUGAAGGAAGGAAGAUGUCGGCCCUUCACAAAGAUGAGCAGGGGGACUGGCAGACCGUGUGCCUCAAAUAUCUGCUUUUUAUUUUUAACUUUCUCUUUUGGAUGGGUGGAGCUGCUGUUUUGGGUGUAGGAGUCUGGACACUGGUGGAGAAGAGCGACUACUUAAGUCUGCUGGCUUCCAGCACCUUCGCCGUCUCUGCAUAUAUCCUCAUCCUGGCUGGAAGUCUGGUGGUGGUUACUGGCUUUUUGGGUUGCUGUGCCGUCAUCCGGGAGCGCAGAAGAUGUUUGUCUGUGUAUUUCUUCUUCCUUUUGGUUAUCUUCUUGAUUGAACUGGUGGCUGGAGUUCUGGCGUAUGUGUACUAUCAGAGGCUGAGUGAAGAGCUAAAGCAGCAUCUGAACCAAACCAUGUCAGAGAAUUAUGCUCAGCCUGGGAAGGAGGCCAUCACAGCAGCUGUAGACAGACUACAACAAGAUUUUAAAUGCUGUGGCAGCAACAACUCCCAGGAUUGGGCGCACAGCGUGUACAUCUCAUCAAUCGCGGCAGAGCAAAGAGUGGUCCCUGAUAGCUGCUGUAAGACUAUUACCCAUGCGUGUGGCAAGAGAGACCACCCCUCCAACAUCUACAAGGUGGAGGGUGGUUGCAUUACUAAGCUGGAACAGUUUCUAGCAGACCACUUGUUAGUCAUUGGUGCUGUGGGGAUCGGAGUGGCUUGUCUUCAGCUGGUCGGGGCAUUCUUGACAGCCUGCUUUAUAUAUCUGCUCUAUAAAGAAGAAGAGGAGGAGGAGGAGUUUGGUGCAUUGUAAUUUGGCUCUAGUGCAUCUUGGUGAUUUAAAUCAAUUGGAGAGACAAGCUUGGAGGAUCUGUGGGAUGGUGUUCACCUGCUGCUUGUACAGACGGAUCAAGAUUGACCCUUACUGAACACACCAGGAAACCAACACAGCGUUCAAAACAGAUGGAACACCCGUGACACGUCACUUAACUAUACUUCAAUUCUGAGCUGGUCACAGAGAAUACAGUCAGAAACAAACCCGGUGCAUGAGUAGCAAGGCCUUUCUUUUAUCAGAGUAAACUUGAAUAAGCUAACCAAGAGCGUUAUCUUUUUUUUUAAUCUAACUGCCUUGGCUUAAGUGCAUGCUUUAAUGUGGGCAAAAUCAUUAAAGUAAUAUUGCCUUCAAUACAUCACUACAAUGCAAAGAUAUAUUUAAUAGGUUGAAGGAGCUGAGAAAAGGCACUAAUAUGAAACACAUUGUGCCUCUGUCAUGGCUGCUGAUGUAUAGUCAAACUAAUCCUGUGCCUAAAACCUGCUGAAAUUACACUGUAAAAGAUUUAUAUU